rnacentral:rRNA from 11 species
GCCUACGCCUAUUGUGUUUAUGUUGAUGUCCUAAGGGCACUAUAUCCUCUGAUCCUGAAAGCGAAGCAGCAUCAAGGUUUGUAUGUACUUGGGUGGGAGACCACCAACGAAUACAAGGUGCUGGAGGCU